UGUGUUUCUUUUGUUCAUAGUUCCUUUCCUGCUGUGUGUGAGGAAGACAUGUAAACAGCGUGUGUUGUUGAGCAGAACUCAUGUGACCCAAAGGUGAUGGCACCAUCCUUUUCUUGUGACGUGGGAGUCCCUAAAUCCCAAACAGUAUAGCUUUGGAAAAA